CUUUCCAUGGCUGAGUGGGGAUUUGAACCCUAUUGUAGAGAAUCAUAGUCCAGUGCUCAAACAACUACACCGUGCUGGUUCUCAACAGAUACAGACAGACAAAAUACAGGGUGGAUAGAAUCAGAGAGAAAAUGAAAAGAAAGAGAAAACACUUGCUCACUAAAUGACUGAAUAGAUAGCCAAAACACAUUACUGCAAAAAUCGAAAGCUCUUUGGGUUUCUCAAAAUUCUGCACAACACUCUUUUGUUUUCAAGUGCUGGGAAUGUUUAUUGUGGAGCCAGGAUAUGAUAAAUGAGGAGAAUUUCCUGACACUGGGGAAAAAAAAGUUGCUUGAACAUGUUUCUUGGAUUGGACCAAGUGACAAUGCCAGUUUUAAAGGUCAAACAGGUUUAUUUUUGUUUUCCUGGCACUUUGUUGCUUCACUCUUCAUGUCACCUAUUAGUGGUAUGGUUUUUAGCAGCUGGUUUUCCUGGAUGUGCUGAAUUGAAGGGCAGCAUAUGUGCUUUAUCUGGUGACCAGAGGACCAAGAGCCAUGGAAGGGCUCCACCACAUCUCCCAGAAGAACAUAAUGGCACAGGAGAGAUAAAUCUACCAAGUUUUGUUCAACAACAAAGCUUCACUUCCAUAAUCAGAACACUCAUAAGAAGUUAACAACUAAGAACUAGUACUCAGCUUUGGUUUUUGUCUUCCUCCCUCCCAUUUCCUUUUCAUUUUUUGACACCUUUUAAAUUGUUAAGCUGAAAAACAAGGAAUUUCUUAAUGUCGGCUUUGCCCCUUUCAGUCAUGAAUUCCCUGUACACCUGUGAUGGGACCCCUGCUUAUUGCAGAAGAUUCUGCAAGUAUAUAUGCAUAGCUUAACCAGGGCAGCAGCUGGGCCUCUGGGGCUUUGCCAUUCACCUGUAUAAGCUGUGAACAUGGAAAAGACACGACACUGCUUCCUCAGUAUGAAUUGCAAGAGAUAGGCUUUGUAGUCUGCAAAGAAAAAGAAAAAGAAAUCAUUGCAAAGGAAAAAUGCAAUGGCCUGUUCACUGAAAAGUAUCAUGUCAAAAUGGUGCCUGCUAUAUAAUCAAGUUGUUUAGUCUCCUUUGCAUUCAAGAAGAUCUUUAAGUAAUCUAACUAAGGAAGAAGAAAAGAGAUUUAUGCAGACUCUUUUGGACGUGUCUUCAUUUACUUUAAAAAUAUUUUUAAGAACUGUGGAUGUGUUCCAGUAGUCUGAUGGGAACCAUUUAAAAAUGUAACAAGAAGAAAGACACAUUAUAUACAUCAGUGAAGCAGGAAUAAAAAAACUCAAAUACAGUGUGGAAAGAAAUAUAAUUUGAACAAGCCUUCUACAACUAAAAAAGAAGGGUGGGGGAGAAAAAGAUUGUUUUGCAAGAUGGGCCUCAAAUUCAGCUUUAAUGGACUUCACUAUCCACUUCAAUUCCUAUCUUCUCUGAAUGGAAAGGCUCUACUCAUGGAAGAAAGCCCUAACUGAUUUUGAGGGAUUCCCAUCUCCUCCCUAAUACCACAAUACAUCCUAUACCACAACACUUCCAGGUCAAAGUCUGGAGAGUAGCUGAAAAGAGGAGAGGACAGGGAAGCCUGGCUUUGUUAGCCCCACUGCACCUAAACCUAGAGCCAACCCAGUGUGUACUAGGAAUAGGGGUUAAUUUUGUUUCUCUGAAACUCUGGUUAUGGAAAAUGUAUUUUUUAAAAUGUUGAACCAUUACGGGGCGGCUGAAAUUUUACACUGUAUUAUUCCUGAAGGCUCUCAGUAGAGGCAAUUCAUCCUUUUUUUAUCGGCCAGAAAAAAUGCAGCCGGGCCAUCCUUUACUGGUGUAUGAUGUUAGCGCCCCUGCAUACUCUACGCUGUAUUUUGGGGUCCUGAUAUUUUUAUAUCUAGAGAUAGCAUGUUUUUUAGAGAUCAGUGAUCUUUCAGGAACACUUGGCCAGGUUUGCAAAAAAAAAAAAAAAGGAAUUAUUAACCUUUAUUUAUGAAGCGCUGUAAAUUUACACAGCGCUGUACAUGCAAUCUUUUUAGUUAGACGGUUCCCUGCCUUCUAACUAAAUGUGUCCUGAAGCUUGUUUACAGCCAGGUAAACAAGAUAAAUCUAAAUGUGUGAAUUAAGUGUUCUUUCCUUUCCCCAAGUAAUCUGCAUUUCCUCUCACAACUUGAGACAAAGGAUCUCCUCACACUCAAAGCACUAUGACAAUUUCUCUGCCUAGCAAUAGCAAUAGCAAGUACAUU